GACGAACGCUGGCGGCGUGCUUAACACAUGCAAGUCGAACGGAAAGGCCCUGCUUUUGUGGGGUGCUCGAGUGGCGAACGGGUGAGUAACACGUGAGUAACCUGCCCUUGACUUUGGGAUAACUUCAGGAAACUGGGGCUAAUACCGGAUAGGAGCUCCUGCUGCAUGGUGGGGGUUGGAAAGUUUCGGCGGUUGGGGAUGGACUCGCGGCUUAUCAGCUUGUUGGUGGGGUAGUGGCUUACCGAGGCUUUGACGGGUAGCCGGCCUGAGAGGGUGACCGGCCACAUUGGGACUGAGAUACGGCCCAGACUCCUACGGGAGGCAGCAGUGGGGAAUAUUGCACAAUGGGCGGAAGCCUGAUGCAGCAACGCCGCGUGCGGGAUGACGGCCUUCGGGUUGUAAACCGCUUUCGCCUGUGACGAAGCGUGAGUGACGGUAAUGGGUAAAGAAGUACCGGCUAACUACGUG
rnacentral:rRNA from 1 species